rnacentral:tRNA from 1 species
GGGUCUUUAGCUCAGUUGGUUAGAGUGCUUGCAUGACAUGCAAGAUGUCACUGGUUCGAGUCCAGUAAGACCCACCA